UUGGUGCCUCCAAAAGGAAAGGGACCGACUGCACUCGAGACUAAAGGCUUGUGUCUCUCUAGCUGCAGGACAGCUUAUAAUGAGAACACCGCAAACUGAAGAGCACCGUUGGGCAAGCUCGAGGGGGGUCACCAAAAGAGGAAGAGAAAUGAAAAUCAAGAGGUCUUCCGAAUCCGUCGUCAUACAUCAAAUGUAAUCGAUUCUCAUCGCUGGAUUCUCUUUUUAAACACUGCCCAC
rnacentral:lncRNA from 1 species